CGGGACGGGUGAGUAAUGUCUGGGAAACUGCCUGAUGGAGGGGGAUAACUACUGGAAACGGUAGCUAAUACCGCAUAACGUCGCAAGACCAAAGAGGGGGACCUUAGGGCCUCUUGCCAUCGGAUGUGCCCAGAUGGGAUUGGCUAGUAGGUGGGGUAACGGCUCACCUAGGCGACGAUCCCUAGCUGGUCUGAGAGGAUGACCAGCCACACUGGAACUGAGACACGGUCCAG
rnacentral:rRNA from 1 species